rnacentral:rRNA from 1 species
UACGUAGGGGGCAAGCGUUGUCCGGAUUUAUUGGGCGUAAAGCGCACGCAGGCGGUCUUUUACGUUUCGAGUGACAGGUGGUGGCUUAACCAUCACAGGCCUUGGAAAACGGGAAGACUUGAGGGCUUCAGAGGGACGCGGAAUUCCUGGUGUAGCGGUGAAAUGCGCAGAUAUCAGGAAGAACACCAAUGGCGAAGGCAGCUCUCUGGGACGGUACUGACGCUGAGACGCGAAAGCGUGGGGAGCGAACAGG